rnacentral:rRNA from 1 species
AUUGAACGCUGGCGGCAGGCCUAACACAUGCAAGUCGAACGAGUGGCGGACGGGUGAGUAAUGUCUGGGAAACUGCCUGAUGGAGGGGGAUAACUACUGGAAACGGUAGCUAAUACCGCAUACCAUCAGAUGUGCCCAGAUGGGAUUAGCUUGUUGGUGGGGUAACGGCUCACCAAGGCGACGAUCCCUAGCUGGUCUGAGAGGAUGACCAGCCACACGGGAACUGAGAAACGGUCCAGACGCCUACGGGAGGCAGCAGGGGGGAAUAUUGCACAAUGGGCGCAAGCCUGAUGCAGCCAUGCCGCGUGUUGGAAGAAGGCCUUCGGGUUGUAAAGCACUUUCAGCGGGGAGGCGUUACCCGCAGAAGAAGCACCGGCUAAAUCCGUGCCAGCCGCCGCGGUAAUUC